rnacentral:tRNA from 1 species
GCGGGUGUGGCGGAAUUGGCAGACGCACUAGACUUAGAAUCUAGCGCCUUACGGCGUGGGGGUUCGACUCCCUUCACCCGCA